GACGAACGCUGGCGGCGUGCUUAACACAUGCAAGUCGAACGGAAAGGCCCUGCUUUUGUGGGGUGCUCGAGUGGCGAACGGGUGAGUAACACGUGAGUAACCUGCCCUUGACUUUGGGAUAACUUCAGGAAACUGGGGCUAAUAUCGGAUAGGAGCUCCUGCUGCAUGGUGGGGGUUGGAAAGUUUCGGCGGUUGGGGAUGGACUCGCGGCUUAUCAGCUUGUUGGUGGGGUAGUGGCUUACCAAGGCUUUGACGGGUAGCCGGCCUGAGAGGGUGACCGGCCACAGUGGGACUGAGAUACGGCCCAGACUCCUACGGGAGGCAGCGGUGGGGAAUAUUGCACAAUGGGCCGAAGCCUGAUGCAGCAACGCCGCGUGCGGGAUGACGGCCUUCGGGUUGUAAACCGCUUUCGCCUGAGACGAAGCGUGAGUGACGGUAAUGGGUAAAGAAGCACCGGCUAACUACGUG
rnacentral:rRNA from 1 species